AGAUAGUUGUGUGUGACGGAAAGCCAAACAUCAAUAAUAUUAUAUAUAUAUACAUGUCAAAUGAGAUUUUAAGAUUUAAUCCGACCGUUACUCGUCGAUAACCGACAUUUAUUUUUUCAUUGGACGACAAAAGCACGAGACAAGCAGACGACAGAAUUAUUUGCAACGGACUUGGAACAGAAUCAAAGUAUAUAAAAGUUUUAGCGUCACGAGAAGCAGUCGAUUUUACUAAUAAGAAAGGGAUCAAAGAGGAUCGGACCAGUCUAAACUCGAUGUCUUUUACACCAUUUGCCUUGAUUUAGAAGUUGAAUUAGCCAGUCAUCGAAGAGACCGAGGUUGUUAUAGCGACGGCGGGAAGUGGGUCAGGUUCAAGUGUCUUUAAUUACUUGUAAAGAAUUAUUUGGCUUUGAUUAAUUUACUUGUUGGAGUAAAGUGUUUUAUUGUUGUUGUGAUGUUAUUAAUCAGGGUGAUCGUGUUAUUCUUGGAGUAUAAUAAUCUCGUUAGGCCUUCAUUCUAUGAUCACUGAUUCGGCCAUUGUCGCUUUAACUCGACCAGCUUCAUAUCAUGAUUGUUUAUCAUUUUCCCGCGUAAUCACAAAAUAUUUCAAAAAUCUCGGAUUCGGUGGAACUGUGCGAGCCCCGGGAAGAGGAGCUCGUGCAGGAAGCUAUGACAACGGCAGAAGAUGAUGGAAUAGAAAUUCUCUCUUGUCACAUAGAGCACGAGGAAUUGGUGGUCGUGGAACCAGCGACCACUGUUAAUAUUUCUGUUACCAAGUCCAAACUCGAAGAUGACCCGGCCACGAGACAUAGGAAGCGCGUGGCACGUGCCGUGGCCAUUGUGUCAUUCAUGUUAUUGUUAUUUAGUGUCGUGUUAAUAGGAGUGUCUCUUAAUAUGUCAAAAAACAUCGAUGAAUUAGCUAAUACUACAAUAACUGCCAGUCAGCUUCAUCAACAGAAUCAUAAAAGUUCGGGAAUCCAAUGAUAUUCUACGUAGACACAACAAUGGAAUAAUGAUCAAUGGAUUAAACCGACCGAAACUUUAUCAUAACCACACAGUGGACUAUCGUCGAUAAACUAUUACUGAAGCAAUGCAUAGUUUGAAUAGUCCAGGAUCCUAUGACGUCAACAACAGGUGCGCGUUUUGAUGAUGCCAACAGAGAACGCGCUUUUUGAAAGUGUCGACAGUUUGUAUGAUGAAGAUGACAUUACCUCAACUUACGAUAUCAAGAAAGAUUGUAAACUGAAUUGACGUCAUAGAAACUCGCUUAAUACGAUACACGUUUUAGUGUUUAUGUUGACGUCACUAAAAGAGUUUUACAUAAUGUUAUAGUGUGUGUGUGUGUUGACAUCAUCACCUAGAGUGUACCACGUGAUAUUUAAAUUAGCAGCGAAUAUAACAACUGAUGCAGUUUAUAAUUGUAUGAAUAUGCAAAUUAACCAAUAUGUAAAUAGUUUUAGAGUGUGUAUGAUAGAUAAAUUCAAGUGUUAUUCAUUAGUUGCACGAAUGAAAUUUGCUAGUUGUCUGUCCAUAAUACUAAUAGAAUCAAAGUAGGCCUUAAAUGCAGACUUAAUCCAACUGUUCGGGGAAAGGAUACUUUAGGGAAAUGUUUAUAAUUAUUCCGGUAAUAAAUCUGGGCCCUUAUUCACGAAAACUUAAAUUAAGAUACAAUCGAAAUUUUAAGAAAUACUGCAAUUCAAUUGGCUGACCAGUAAAAUCAAUUUGCAUAUAUCCAAUGAAGUUGCAGUAUUUCUUAAAAUUUCGGUUGUAACUUAGUUUAAGUUUUCGUGAAUAAGGGCCCAGAUCAAUAGAACCUUGGCAAACAUAUAGAAAUUAUAUCUAAAAAUUUAAAUUUGAUCGAAUUAGGCCGUAACGCAUGAGGCUGUGAUAAUCACCGUUGUCAGUUGUUUCGACAAUAGCCUAUCCCGGUCAUAAUAAUCACCAACAAGAGGGGGUUAUUUUGGGGGAGGUUUUGUCAUUUACAAAAAGUGACCGACAAGAAAAAAUAUGUUACAGAUAAAAUUUAAAUGAUUUCAUAAAAACAUGAAAUUAAUAUGUACAAAUGAAAUUUCAAAUUUUAUAGAUAAGAUCACAUUAUUAACAAAAUACAAGAUUUCGCGGUUUUAUUCGUCUUAGUAGAUAAAAGAAAGACAGAUUUUCUACCAAGACUUAAAAAUAUCUUUCUUCCUGAACAUCACCCGCGUCACGACUCAUAAUUAAAUGGAACGCAGUUUGAACAUGGAUGUUGGGUUGCUUCUUCACGAAAACCUAAAUCUCUUAAGAUGCAUAAUGUAAGAUUUAGAUAAAGAGCUGGUUGUUCUUACUAUAACAGUUAAAAAAAAGAUGAUCAAAAAUUUAUAUAUUUAUGAUUUCAGUAAAAUUACUUUAUUCUGAGCGAAGUUAGUAGUGUUUCGGUGAAUAAAUGACUAAAUAAUAAUUUAUGUAACAUUUUUGAAGCUUGAAAAAAGACCUGACAUAGGCAGAUUUAGCUAAUACAUAAUGCAUCUUCAAAUUCGAUUGUACCUUAUAAUUAACAUCUAGAAAUCGUCAUAACAGGAUUGAUUUGUCCCCAAAAACUUAUGGGGAGACAACUAACAAAUUUCUCUCAUCACCUAUUAUAACGGCUAAAUCUAAUUCUUAAGGCCAGCUCAAUUUUGUCAAGGUCGUCGAGAUGUAAAUAAGGUUAGGGCACGUGAUUGUUGGUGAGAUUUUAAGUUAGGGUUAUGGUAAGCAUGGGGCUCUAGAGGGUUAGGUUUAGGGUUGGGAUUAGCCCUAGUUCGGUUUACAUCUCGUGACAUAUGACGAAAUAUUGAGCUGACCUUAUCAUUUAGUACUAACCGUAUUAUAACGACAUAUCAUUAUUAGAGCGAGACAUCGACAUAGUUACACUCGCAAAAUUGUGCCAAAUGAAAGGAUUCUUUUUUCAGUCCAGUCUAUGUUAAGCUUUAUUCAUCUUCUAAAAAGUGUCUGCUUACAAGUCAAUAAUCUGCCAAAGAUACCUUGAUAGCCAUGAUCACUUUAUUUCUUUUAGACCACACCAAUUUGAUUUUAAGUUCUUGGUUCUGAACACUUUUUUGUGCCAACGGCACUCCUUGCAAAACAUGAAAAAAUAUAUAUGGAAAAUAUCUGAAUUUUUCAAAAUAAAAACAUGGCAAGUCAUAGACGGCAUAUAAUCGUACACUCAAACUAGAUAAAGAAAAACACAGCUAUGAACUAAGAAUUUACUCAGAAUUGUCCGCCUAAUAUAUAACUUUAUAAACCUUUUGUUGUUUUAAUGAUCAAAUACAUCAAUAAGAAACUAUGUACAAAGUUUUGUGUUUCUAGAUCAAAGAUAUUUCACCUAAACACUGAUUGAAAGUUGAGUAAAUUCUUAACUUAGUUCUGAGAAUGCUUUGGGAACUCGGUGACAGGGUGGCGUCUUUACUGCGCUGCUGCGACCGUACAGCGACCAGAAAAUGCACACGGUCGCCGGCAAACGUGAACACAACGCGAGAAAAUGUCCCAAAAAUUACAAACUUGUAAAGAGUCGCGUUCUCACAGCUUUCCGGGUCAUAACCGUGGCGUUUGUUUUUAACAUGCUUAAAAGUAGGACAUCAAACCCCAUGCCAUUUCGUGCAGUAAUACCUUGAUAUUACGGCGUGGUUUUGUUAUGAUCGUAUCCUAUUAUUAUACACUCUCUAAUGAAUGCUACCAAGUCAAUCUAGUACAAUAUUGUUACUAUAUUUAGAUACCCGUUUCUGUUCUAAUUAUGAUGCUUCAGAUUAAUUAUAUUGCCAUGUAUUCCCAUUCCGUUAGAAUAUGAAAGAUCUACCAUCGACUUGUAACUACAUCUAUCAAGGGAUUUGAUAAUUACCACUAAUGCAUGCGUUAAUUAAAAGUCAUAAAUUUUCACUUCCUUGUACUCAAAGCUUCUACAGUUUAAAAGGAGAUUCUCACUCCACCAAGAAAAUAAAUAUAAGCAAUUUAGAAUAAUAUCAGAUUUUCAGACUUUAAAUAAUUUGCCAAACAAUUUAAAGUUUAAAGGGGAAUUCUCACUCCCACGAAGAAAAUAAAUAUAAAUAUUAUUUCAGAUUUAAAAUAAUCUUAAACUCUUUAAUUUGCAAAAAAAAAAACGAGCACUGGCCUACUUUGUGUAUCGUAAUUCGUCAUACGAAACGUACGCCGCCUGUCUACAGUUAGCUCCGCUUGAGAACAGACACGAACCUAGCAUAAUUUUUCAAAAUGGCGGCCAAUUACGUCCGAGAUCUAUAUUCUCAAAGCGAACAGUUAACUGUGUGCAGAAUGGUUUUGCGUACUUUGCCACAUCGGUUGCUAAACGCCUUGAAAACAAAUGAAAUGAAAUGAAAUAGGAUUUACCCUUUUUCUGUUCUCCGGCUGAGCUAAUAAAAGACGACCUUUGAAAAGAGCUAAAAUUUGUGUGCAUAUAUUUGACUCGUAUAUUGGAGAAUAAAACUUUCACAUCGUGGUUAUUUGUAUUCCGAUCGGUCUCAAAUUUUACAUAAGAUCUAGAUUGUACAGGCACGGGGCAACCGUGUCGUAAAAUCAUGAUAAAGUGAUGGUGGGGGGCUCAAACCGAACAGGACCUCCAAAGCGCUAUAUUUUUUACCGACUAGCGAAAGAACUGAUCCAAACCGCACAAAACAGCGACACUUAUUACGAAACUCCUCAUUCGUUUUAAUUCUUGUUAAAUAUUAAAUUGUGCUAAAAUCAAAAUAUCAACUGUUUAUAAUUUCGCAGGGGGGUUGA